UAUCUCUGUAGAGUCUGCAUAUCAAUAAGCGGAGGAAAAGAAACUAACAAGGAUUCCCCUAGUAACGGCGAGUGAAGCGGGAAGAGCUCAAAUUUGAAAUCUUCAAGGUUUGACCUUGACGAAUUGUAGUUUAAAGAAGUGUUUUCGGUUAGAGGAGUAGUAAAAGUUCUUUGGAAUAGGACAUCAUAGAGGGUGAGAAUCCCGUAUUUGACUAUUCUUUCUAGCUUUGUGAUACACUUUCAAAGAGUCGGAUUGUUUGGGAAUGCGGUCCAAAAUGGGUGGUAAAUUUCAUCUAAAGCUAAAUAUUGGCGAGAGACCGAUAGCGAACAAGUACCGUGAGGGAAAGAUGAAAAGAACUUUGAAAAGAGAGUUAAACAGUACGUGAAAUUGUCAAAAGGGAAGCGUUUGACACCAGUGUUGUUUUUCCGAAAAUCAAUUAAAAAUUGAUUCAUGCCAGGUUGUAUUGACCUCAUCAGCUUGCAAUUUGGUUUUGGGUCUCUUUUUGAUGCACUUUUCGGUUAACAAGUCAACAUCAAUUUCCUUUGCUGUAAAAAGGUAAGAAGAAGGUGGCUUCAAUUUCGGUUGAAGUGUUUAUAGCCUUUUAUCUCUGCAGUCGGGGAGAUUGAGGUCUGCAGCGUAGAUCCUUCGGGGCUAGAUACAUUUAUGCUAAGUUAUAGCUUUUCAUAGACAACUUGUUGACUAUGUUUAGUCAUGUAGCUUACUCGUAAGUGCUAUUUUACCUACGCUUAGGAUGUUGAGCGCAUGUCUCUCUCU
rnacentral:rRNA from 1 species